rnacentral:rRNA from 1 species
GAGUGAACGCUGGCGGUAGGCCUAACACAUGCAAGUCGAACAGCAGCACAGUAAGAGCUUGCUCUUACGGGUGGCGAGUGGCGGACGGGUGAGGAAUACAUCGGAAUCUACUUUUUCGUGGGGGAUAACGUAGGGAAACUUACGCUAAUACCGCAUACGACCUACGGGUGAAAGCAGGGGAUCUUCGGACCUUGCGCGAUUGAAUGAGCCGAUGUCGGAUUAGCUAGUUGGCGGGGUAAAGGCCCACCAAGGCGACGAUCCGUAGCUGGUCUGAGAGGAUGAUCAGCCACACUGGAACUGAGACACGGUCCAGACUCCUACGGGAGGCAGCAGUGGGGAAUAUUGGACAAUGGGCGCAAGCCUGAUCCAGCCAUACCGCGUGGGUGAAGAAGGCCUUCGGGUUGUAAAGCCCUUUUGUUGGGAAAGAAAAGCAGCAGGUUAAUACCCCGCUGUUCUGACGGUACCCAAAGAAUAAGCACCGGCUAACUUCGUG